rnacentral:rRNA from 1 species
UACGGAGGGUGCAAGCGUUAUCCGGAUUCACUGGGUUUAAAGGGUGCGUAGGUGGGCAGGUAAGUCAGUGGUGAAAUCUCCGGGCUUAGCCCGGAAACUGCCGUUGAUACUAUUUGUCUUGAAUAUUGUGGAGGUAAGCGGAAUAUGUCAUGUAGCGGUGAAAUGCUUAGAUAUGACAUAGGACACCAAUUGCGAAGGCAGCUUACUACACAACGAUUGACGCUGAGGCACGAAAGCGUGGGGAUCAAACAGG